UGCAGCCGGGCGGCUUGCUCUUUCCCGUCAGCCCCUGCGCGUUAUAAAUACCCACGUCGUGCGUCCCACAUUCUUUUCUAGGCGCGUGGGAAGAAGAGAAAGCCUUGAGAACCUCAUUAGAUGCUGCCGAAGAGGGCAUUUGAUCCACAGGUGAACAUGUCCAGUUUGGGAAUCCAAGUAGCAGGUAUUCUGCAUUUUCCUAUGUCAUGCCGCUAGUUGUAUAUCAUACCUGGGGCCUGAGCAAGGAUGAGGGGCUGACUUCUGGGUGUGGUGAGGAUCCUGCACAUCAUGGACACUGGAGCUCCACAAGAGUCAACCAGGCCACUUUAAAAGGAAGAAUAACAACCAGGAGAAAAAGAGCUGGAGAAGAUGCUGAGGAUGUGGUCUUGUGAAAGCAUCAGCUAUUUAAGCAUAGGUCAGAAGAGAACAAGAGUCCUACAGAUCAACAGAACAAUCUUGGAGAAAUGUCUACCUUUGGUCUCCACCUUCAGUAUGCCUUCAAGUCUACAAUUCCCAUCCCUGGUUGCCGACUAGGCUGGCGGGAUUCGGAAGGCCCCAACAUUGACAGGGCACUAUGCUAGCUUUCUCUGGCAGCAACAUGAUGGAAGAAAAGCUGCAUUGCUGUGGAUACUAAUGAGCAGGAAUGACCUCCAAAGCCUUAAUGUGGAGAAUUAUCAUCUUGCUUUUUCCCUGAUUAGCAGGUGCUGCCAUAGUGGUAACAAAACAGCAAGAUCUGUGACACACUGCUUGUGUGUUCUGAGCAAAGGUGGUCAAGGGGAAAACUUAAAUGCGGACAAAGAUAAUGGUCCAAAACCAAAUUAACCGGUUGGGAUGAAGAGGUUUUCUGCAUUUGCAGAAUUUGACAACUGCAUGCAUGCCUUUUUUCCCUUGCAAG